rnacentral:piRNA from 1 species
UGAGAGGACUGAUGUCAUUGAGGAGGCCUG